AAAUUGUGUUCGCCCAGGAGAUCAUAAUCAUAAUUAAACUAGAAAGGACAAGUAAAAACAUUAGAAGAUCGACAGUGCGGUCUGUGGCACAAAGACAACCGAGGAUCUCAGGUUGAAAAUUGUGAGGACCACCAUGUGAUAUCAAGAUAAUUUUUAAAUUAGGGACAACACUGAAGAAAAAUUCACCAAGACAGGAAUAACAUUUUACAAUACACAAACAUCUAAUCAAUCUAAAUGUUUUGUUCAUACGCGCAAAACUUCCUCCAGAUUUAUUGUCUUAUUAUCUUCUAACAUGAAUGAAUUUUACUAUAAACACUACCCGAGUAUCAGAGAAACCUGUGGUUUCAUGCUCUACCCUUCCUCUUCUCAUCCAAUGCCUUGCUUUGGAAC
rnacentral:misc_RNA from 1 species